GACGAACGCUGGCGGCGUGCUUAACACAUGCAAGUCGAACGGAAAGGCCCCUUUGGGGGUACUCGCGUGGCGAACGGGUGUGUAACACGGGAGUAACCUGCCCUUGACUGCGGGAUAACUUCAGGAAACUGGGGCUAAUACCGGAUAGGAAUCCUUGCCGCAUGGUGGGGGUUGGAGAGCUUUGGCGGUUGUGGAUGGACUCGCGGCUUAUGAGCUUGUUUGUGGGGUAGUGGGUCACCAAGGCUGUCACGGGUCGCCGGCCUGAGAGGGAGAGCGGCCACAUUGGGACUGAGAUACGGCCCAGACUCCUAACGGAGGCAGCAGUGGGGAAUAUUGCACAAUGGGCGGAAGCCUGAUGCAGCAACGCCGCGUGCGGGAUGACGGCCUUCGGGUUGGAAAACGCUUUCAGCAGGGGCGAAGCUUGUGGUGACGGUACCUGCAGAAGAAGCACCGGCUAACUACGUG
rnacentral:rRNA from 1 species